rnacentral:rRNA from 1 species
ACUCAAAUGAAUAGACGGGGGCCCGCACAAGCAGUGGAGUAUGUGGUUUAAUUCGAAGCAACGCGAAGAACCUUACCAGGACUUGACAUACCUCUGACGCAUCUAGAGAUAGGUGUUCCCUUCGGGGCAGAGGAUACAGGUGGUGCAUGGUUGUCGUCAGCUCGUGUCGUGAGAUGUUGGGUUAAGUCCCGCAACGAGCGCAACCCCUGUUGUUAGUUGCCAUCAUUUAGUUGGGCACUCUAGCGAGACUGCCGGUGACAAAUCGGAGGAAGGUGGGGACGACGUCAAAUCAUCAUGCCCCUUAUGUCCUGGGCUACACACGUACUACAAUGGCUAUUACAGCAGGAUGCGAAACCGUAAGGUGGAGCCAAUCCCUAAAAAUAGCCCCAGUUCAGAUUGUGGGCUGAAACUCGCCCACAUGAAGUCGGAAUUGCUAGUAAUUGCAGGUCAGCAUACUGCAGUGAAUACGUUCCCGGGCCUUGCACACACCGCCCGU